AACGGCGAGUGAAGCGGCAAGAGCUCAAAUUUGAAAUCUGGCCUCCUCCGGGGGUCCGAGUUGUAAUUUGUAGAGGAUGCUUCGGGUGUGGCCGCCGUCUAAGUUCCUUGGAACAGGACGUCAGAGAGGGUGAGAAUCCCGUCUUGGGCGGCCGGUCCGCGCCCGUGUGAAGCUCCUUCGACGAGUCGAGUUGUUUGGGAAUGCAGCUCUAAGCGGGUGGUAAAUUUCAUCUAAAGCUAAAUAUUGGCCGGAGACCGAUAGCGCACAAGUAGAGUGAUCGAAAGGUUAAAAGCACCUUGAAAAGGGAGUUAAACAGCACGUGAAAUUGUUGAAAGGGAAGCGCUUGCGGCCAGACUCGGGGGCGGGGUUCAGCGAGCGCUCGUCGCCCGUGCACUCCCCGCUUCCCGGGCCAGCAUCAGUUUCCACGGCCGGUCAAAGGCCUCCGGAAUGUGUCGUCUCUCGGGACGUCUUAUAGCCGGGGGUGCAAUGCGGCCCGUGGGGACUGAGGAACGCGCUCCGGCUCGGAUGCUGGCGUAAUGGCCGUAAGCGGCCCGUCUUGAAACACGGACCAAGGAGUCUAACAUCCACGCGAGUGUUCGGGUGUCAAACCCGUGCGCGCAGUGAAAGCGAACGGAGGUGGGAGCCUUAGGGCGCACCAUCGACCGAUCCUGAAGUCUUCGGAUGGAUUUGAGUAGGAGCGUGGCCGUUGGGACCCGAAAGAUGGUGAACUAUGCCUGAAUAGGGUGAAGCCAGAGGAAACUCUGGUGGAGGCUCGCAGCGGUUCUGACGUGCAAAUCGAUCGUCAAAUUU
rnacentral:rRNA from 1 species